CUCUUCUUGGUAGUUUUUGAAGUAUAGCCUGCCCACUGACACGUGAGUUGAAGGGCCGCGGUAUUUUGACCGUGCAAAGGUAGCAUAGUCAUUAGUUCUUUAAUUGUGAUCUGGUAUGAAUGGCUUGACGAGAUAUGAGCUGUCUUAGGUGAGGAUUAAGUUUGUUGAAUUUGUAUUUUGAGUUAAAAUUCUUAGAUGUUUUUAUGGGACGAGAAGACCCUAUAGAGUUUUACAUUAGGCUAUAUAUUCUUUUGUUUGUUUUCCAUUUUAUGUAACCUUUUGUUUUGUUGGGGUGAUGGGAGGAUUUUCUUUAACUCCUCUUUUGUGUUGUUAUAUUGAUUUGUAUUUGUUUUGAUCCAUUUAUUUUGAUUAUAAGAUUAAAUUACCUUAGGGAUAACAGCGUUAUCUCCCCUGAGAGUUCUUAUUGGCGGGGGGGUUUGCGACCUCGAUGUUGGAUUAAGGUUUAUUUUUGGUGUAGGAGCUGAAUGGAUUAGGUCUGUUCGACCUUUAAAAUCUU
rnacentral:rRNA from 1 species